CUUUCAACAACGGAUCUCUUGGUUCUGGCAUCGAUGAAGAACGCAGCGAAAUGCGAUAAGUAAUGUGAAUUGCAGAAUUCAGUGAAUCAUCAAAUCUUUGAACGCACAUUGCGCCCCCUGGUAUUCCGGGGGGCAUGCCUGUUCGAGCGUCAUUA
rnacentral:rRNA from 1 species